rnacentral:rRNA from 1 species
UUGGAUCAUGGUUCAGAACGAACGCUGGCGGCAAGCUUAACACAUGCAAGUCGAACGGACCAUACGCGCAGCUUGCUGCGUGUAUGGUUAGUGGCAGACGGGUGAGUAAUGCAUAGGAAUCUACCUAGUAGUAUAGGAUAGCCACUAGAAAUGGUGGGUAAUACUGUAUAAUCCCUGCGGGGGAAAGAUUUAUCGCUAUUAGAUGAGCCUAUGUCAGAUUAGCUAGUUGGUGGGGUAAUGGCCUACCAAGGCGGUGAUCUGUAGCUGGUCUGAGAGGAUGAUCAGCCACACUGGAACUGAGACACGGUCCAGACUCCUACGGGAGGCAGCAGUGGGGAAUAUUGGACAAUGGGCGCAAGCCUGAUCCAGCUAUGCCGCGUGAGUGAGGAAGGCCUUAGGGUUGUAAAACUCUUUCAGUAGGGAAGAUAAUGACGGUACCUACAGAAGAAGUCCCGG